rnacentral:rRNA from 1 species
AGUGGACGCUGGCGGCGUGCAUAAUACAUGCAAGUCGAACGGAAUUUAAGAGGGCUUGCUCUUUUAAAUUUAGUGGCGCACGGGUGAGUAAUAUAUAGCUAAUCUGCCCCUUGCUGGAGGACAACAGUUAGAAAUGACUGCUAAUACUCCAUACUCCUUUUUACCAUAAGAUAAAUCGGGAAAGAAUUUCGGCAAGGGAUGAGACUAUAUCGUAUCAGCUAGUCGGUGGGGUAACGGCCUACCGAGGCUAUGACGCGUAACUGGUCUGAGAGGAUGAUCAGUCACAUUGGAACUGAGACACGGUCCAAACUCCUACGGGAGGCAGCAGUAGGGAAUAUUGCGCAAUGGGGGAAACCCUGACGCAGCAACGCCGCGUGGAGGAUGACACUUUUCGGAGCGUAAACUCCUUUUGUUAGGGAAGAAUAAUGACGGUACCUAACGAAUAAGCACCGGCUAACUCCGUGCCAGCAGCCGCGGUAAUACGGAGGGUGCAAGCGUUACUCGGAAUCACUGGGCGUAAAGGACGCGUAGGCGGAUUAUCAAGUCUCUUGUGAAAUCUAACGGCUUAACCGUUAAACUGCUUGGGAAACUGAUAAUCUAGAGUAAGGGAGAGGCAGAUGGAAUUCUUGGUGUAGGGGUAAAAUCCGUAGAUAUCAAGAAGAAUACCUAUUGCGAAGGCGAUCUGCUGGAACUUAACUGACGCUAAUGCGUGAAAGCGUGGGGAGCAAACAGG